AACGAACGCUGGCGGCAGGCUUAACACAUGCAAGUCGAGCGAAGACUUCGGUCUUAGCGGCGGACGGGUGAGUAACGCGUAGGUGACCUGCCCCGAAGUGGGGAAUAACUGCCCGAAAGGGUGGCUAAUACCGCAUGUGGUGAUGCGUUCAUUCGCAUCAGUAAAGCCGCAAGGCGCUUCGGGAGGGGCCUGCGUCCGAUUAGCUCGUUGGUGGGGUAACGGCUCACCAAGGCGACGAUCGGUAGGUGGUCUGAGAGGACGAUCACCCAGACUGGGACUGAGACACGGCCCAGACUCCUACGGGAGGCAGCAGUCGGGAAUUUUGCGCAAUGGACGAAAGUCUGACGCAGCAACGCCGCGUGAGGGAUGACGGCCUUCGGGUUGUAAACCUCUUUUGUCAGGGACGAUGAUGACGGUACCUGACGAAUAAGCCACGGCUAACUACGUGCCAGCCGCCGCCGUAAAAC
rnacentral:rRNA from 1 species